AGUGUUAGUGACGCUGAGUUAGACGUGACAUUCAUCGCAAUUUCCCCAGCGCUGGCUACAAGCUGAUACUAGGUCACUUGAGGUCAAAGCAACUUUUUGUCAAACGGAGCCGUGUACUGGCAUCGUUAAGGCGAGUAGACGCUGAAGGAGUUCUGAUGCGUAGGCUCUCACUACGCACCGUUAGACGAAGAGUGUACUCUGUACCAGCUCCCAAUAGCCUGUGGCAUGUUGACGGGAAUCAUAAGCUUAUAAGAUGGAGAAUAGUUGUGCAUGGUGGUGUUGAUGGGUUUUCACGGCUCAUUGUUUACCUGACUGCAGCAACAAACAACAGAGCCCAAACUGUUCUGGAAAGUUUCCUGUCAGCUGUGGAGCAGUUUGGCGUCCCCUCAAGAGUCAGAUCAGAUAAGGGAGGGGAAAACGUUCUGGUGGCACGCUUCAUGGUGACUAAUUGUGGAAUCAACAGGAACAGUCACAUUGCAGGAAGAAGUGUACACAAUCAAAGGAUCGAGCGACUAUGGAGAGAUGUUUUUGAAAAUGUCCUUGAUCUAUUCAACAGCACUUUCCUUCGUCUGGAAGCUGAGGGGUGGCUUAAUCCAGACAAGGAGACAGACCUCUAUGCUUUACAUAGAUGUUACAUGCCACACAUCCAGUCACAUCUGCAACAAUUUCAGAGAGCAUGGAACAACCAUUCCUUAAGAUCUGCAAGAAACCAGUCCCCUCUUCAGCUGUGGUCAAGCAAAGAAAGAGAUAGACACACACUACACAUUUCUCAGGUAUUUAAUCAAUAUGGAAC